CGCAAGGAGGAGAUUUGUGAUGGCGGCGCUGAAUGAUGUUCGGUGUUCAGUCCUGUCAAGCACCCGUUGUGGCUACUUCGCGCGUGCCUGACAUGAAAUCUCCUAUCAUUUGAAGCUUUCGACAACACGACCCCCGUCUCUUGGACAAAUUAAGCGCCUCAUUUAACGCAAAAUCGGGUUUGGGUAAUAAAUACACCUUAAUCCGAAUCACAGCAGGACAAAACUGACGCACUCCGCCAUCCACGUCUCGUGUGGUGAACUGCCACAUUGCCUAUAUCGCUUUCAUACUGACAGGUUUGGGAGCCGGACUCGC
rnacentral:sRNA from 1 species